UUGGGUCGACUCAAGUUUCAUUUGGGUCGACCCUCUCAGGGAUUCCAGAGACUUGUUUUCUUGAGGCUUGAAGAUGGGGUCGACUCAACUUUUACUUGGGUCGACCCAAGUACUGUUCAUCCGUGCCAUUUUUGCAGAAGUGUGCCAGAUGGUUUCUUGAUGUGCCGGGGUCGACUCUACCAAGUUUGGGGUCGACUCAAUCCACACUUUGCUGCAACUUAAGGUUAGAUUCAUCCAUAUAAUCAAUGAAAUAAACUUCAA
rnacentral:lncRNA from 1 species